UGCGAUGAGUCGAGGAAAACCAGGCAGCUUUAGCUGUUUUGCUGUUGCAACUAGUGGUUUAUUUCGAAUAGCGGGACACCAUUACUGCCGGAUUGCAGGGUGUCUGAUUGAUACGCAUUGUGGAGU
rnacentral:ncRNA from 1 species